rnacentral:lncRNA from 1 species
UUCUUCUGGGUUUUGAUUUACUCUUGGUUUUGUGAAAGGUCACUUGAAUCUUUCUUGUCUUCGGUUCCUAGAUUAUAGAUUCAAUCCCAGUAAGAUUGAGUUUUAGGGUUCUCUAAAGAUUCAAGAUUUCGAUGUUCUUUAUUUGAAAUUUCUUCGAAAAAUAUGGAGUCUUGGUUUUACUUUACGCCCACAAACUGUUCGACGAAAGUCCUGAACCAGAUUUGUGCAUCUUUAGUCAUCACUCAAUUCAAAGACCUCUAAAAAUAGUUUAUCUUGUUCAAAAGAAAUUAUCCUCUAAUUCAUAUUCACUAAUAACAGUUUUUAGAUUUGCAACAACAUCAAAAAAUACAAAAAGAGAGGUAAUUUAGAUUACCUCAUUUGGGUCUUGACCACAUUAAUGGUGGAAGACAUACAUCCACGAGGUAUGAACCUCGGGAGACAUUACUCCAGAUAACACUGGGAACUUGACUCCAGAUAGCACUGGGAAGAUGGUUACAUUCCACAACGGGAAGAGGAAGCACACGGAGACAUUCCUCCGGCGAAUUAAAGCAUUCUCGAGACUGACAGCUCGGAAGAAGCCAAACUUGGUACCAAUAUGAAUCGAACCCUGGUGGGAACUGAGCUCCGCUGAGACUCAACCACUUUGAUAUAGGCCGAAUUGGUGCCUAGAGAUCUAUCUUAUUUGUAUUUAACACAAUCAUUGGGCAAACAUUUAAAGAUUUAUCAAAGCCCACAAGGAACCUAAUAGAUUGAGCCCAUUAAGUUUAAUUGCACUUACAAGUUACAACGCUUUGAUUUCUCUUCUUCCUUGCAAAAUAUAACUUAGCCGUGAACAAAUGAUCAUCUCUCCAUGAUCUUAUUUUGUUUCUCCACUAGCGUACAUGGUCCGGUUAAUAAGGAAACAAAAAAUAUUCAUGUAUUUUUAUUUAAUUUUAGCUUGGUAUAUUUUUUUGGAAAAUUUCUCAAAUUAAAAGCAAAAGAAAGGUAAUUUAGAUUACCUUAAGCCGCAAUGAUAACAAUCAAUUAUUCAGUUCAGUAGGGUAAGUACCAAUUCGAACCCCGGUGGUGACAUAACCACAUAGGAAACACAACAACAUAUGAAAGUAUUGAAUUGGUGCCAAGAGCUAUAAUUUAAUUAAACUUAUCCCUAAAAAAUAAAAUCGAACGGUUCAAGUUUAGACCGGUACGCUGAAUAAUUUCACAUCAUCAGUGUAAGGUAUCGAAGAACACUACAUCUCCCUCGUCAUGGUUUACAUAUCUCUUGAAAUGUUUUGAGGAAGUAGUGAAUAAAGAGCCUGCAGGAGUUAAUUCGAUCAAGGCUAAAGACAAAGUACACACGAUUUCUUAUCGGAGAAUAAGAACUCAUCUGAGGAGCAAAGAGAUUUAUAACAUAAAGCUUGAUGAGUUCAGAGAGUGUUUGAACAAAGUUAAAUAUGUUCCCGGUGACUGAAACAGAUUUUCAUUAUAUGGAGAGAAGGAUAAAAGAGAAGCUCUUGUUGUAUCACAGUGAAAAACUUGCGGUUGCGAUUUGCUAUAACGUGCAUGUCUCACUCAAUGCGUCAGGUAACAUAUUAAAUUAUUAAUUGACGUUACCUAAAAUGAGCUAUCUACCCGUAACUUGUGGUUCAAGUUUCUUUCUUAGAUGAUCUCUUGAAAGAGACUACUACCAAAAUCAUGUAAACGGUUUUCACUAAAGAUAUAUUCUAGUUAACAUAAACCUCAUGAGAUUAGGAUUUUUAUAACAUAUAAUUAAGAUUACCUCAAGAUAUCUAUCAUCAGAGGUGAUGGAUCAGUUUUAACAAUUACUAAGAGAGAACUCAACAGAAGUCGACAAUUUAAGUAGAGAACUAAUUCUAGCGACGAUUUAAAGAGAGAAUAACCUCUGGCGACGAAAGUACCGAUUCGAACCUAAGUGGCAUGUCAUGUGACACAACAAACUGGAAAAUUAUUAAAUAAAUCUUCUAAGAAAACUACGAAUCGGAAUAGAAAAUUAGCUAACAGAAUAACCCUAAAGGAACAUUGGCACGAUGUCGAACGGUACGUUCUAUCUACAUCGUAAUUUCAUAUCUAGAUAAAAUCGUAGAGACGAAAGAGAGUCACCACAAAUCAGUGAAUAACUCCGAUGUGGAAGAAGAAGACCACAUGGAAACUUAAAAUUUUUAGUUUUUGUAUAAACUUUUUUAAAAAAGAAUUUGUAAAGUUCAUUUUUCUUCAAGGAUAAAAAACUGGGUUUUCUAAUUAGUUAUAUCCACGUAAUGUAUAAAAUUACAAUAUUUAUUAAAUUGUGUAUUAAAUAACAAUUUUUAUUAAACAAGGUAUUAUUAGAGAAAUUAUGUUUUUUAAAAAAGUAAAUAAAUAUACCAAUAUUAUUUGUUUGAAACCACCGCAUCAAAGAAAAUUACAAAUCAGAAUAGAAAAUUAGGUUACAGAUUAUCAACGUUAAAGGAACACAUGCACGAAGUUGAACGAUACGAUUUAUAUCUUAAUUUCUAAUCAUAUAAAAUCGCGAAAACGAAAGAAAAAAGGACAAGAACGAGAAGUCGAUAAAAAAGGAUUCGAAUAGAGAAGAGGCAAGAGGCACGAAAAGGAGGUAGUGAUUCUUCAAAAACAAAUUCAACUAUUUUUGGAAAAUUUUCCCAAAUUAAAAACAAAAAAAGGUAAUUUAGCGGCUAACUGCAUUAGUGAGUUGGAUCAAUACAACGCCGUUAGCUUUGUCGGUAGCCAAUCGAACUAACUAACUAUAAUAUAAAUCUACCGACUUUGUACCAAUUCGAACCCCGGUGGGGGUGAAACUUGUUAGGUUACUCAAGUACACAACCACAAAUGAAAGUACUGAAUUGGUGACAUAAGCUCUAAUUUAAUUAUACUUAGAGCACCAUUAUUGGUGGUUUCUUAGAUGGUUCUUAACUUUUUUAUUUUAGAAUUAAACAUUGAAAAAAAAAUCAAAACAAAUUAAAAUGCUAAGAUUUGACUCUUAGCUAAGAGUUUUUGGGAGUGUUAAGAGCUAAGAUUUGACUCUUAACUAACAAAAAACUAAAAUUUUAAUAUUAAACAAUGUUAAGAGAUAUAGUUAAGAACCCCCUGUUAAUGAUGGUCUUAUCCCUUUAAAUUAAAAUCGAAUGGUUCCGGUGUAGACCGGUAAUCCGGUAUGCUAAAUAAUUUCACAUCUUCACUGUAAGGUGUCAAAUUGAAGAACACUUAUAUUUUCCUCGUCAUGGAUUCAUUGGAGGUUCUUACGGCAUUGGCCGUAGGCGUAAGGGGUGUUCUGUAGUAUAUUUUGUUUGCAACAUUUCCAACAACACGCAAUGGAAUUGGUUUCCAACUUUCUAUAAAUUGAUAUCAAUAUGUUGUUAUCUAUUCGUCAUUUGAUUUAUAUGUUUAUGUAUGAAACUUGUGGUUGAAGAUUCUUUCUUUGAUGAUCUCUCGAAAGAAACUAUUUCAAAAUCAUGCUAACUGUUUCCAGUAAAGAUGUAUUCAAAUUAAUAAUAUUAAUUUUAUGAUUACGACCUUUACCUCAAUGAUACUUAUGGUUGCUAAUGGAAAUCAACAAGCUCCGACUUCGCCGAAUCUGUUCCAAAACCCUUAAUAUCUUGCAAACAAAAGUAGGAUUUUCUACAUAUUGAUUCCAAACGACGAAAUUAAAUGAAAAGAAAAGAAUGAAUAAAUUUCAAAGAAAACUAUGAUUCGGAAAUAGAAAAUUAGGUUUCAAAUUUUUAUCAUCAUUAAAGGAACACCGGCACGAAUUCAAAAAGUACGAUCUGUCCAUCUCGUAAUUUUAGAUAUAGAUAAAAUCGCGGAAACGAAAGAGAGUCACUUCAAUCGGUUGAUAACUAAGUUGCUCACAAACGGAAUUUCGCCAAACCACAUUACUCUAGCUAGUGAGCGUCCUUUUGUGCGUGAAACCACGUACAUAGAAAAUGUUGUUUGACGCGAACUGCAUCAAUAUGGGCCGGGGAGCGGUUCUUGGUGAGGGAAAAGUUCCACAAGACCGUAAAGUUUGGGAAAUUCGUUGCAAAGAUAGUAAAAGUUCUUGAGCCUUAUAAAAUUCAGAAACACGCAUGCUUUUAGCGGAUAUAUAUGCAGAUGCGAGAAUGUGUGAGGAAGUAAUGAAGACGAGGAGGUUAAUGAGAGAGAGAGAUUCAAGUUAAUAAAAAACCUGCAGGAGUUAGUUGGAUUGAGGUUAAAGACAGAGUACACACGAUUUAUUGUCGAAGAUAGAACUAAUCCGAGGAGAAAAGAGAUUUAUAACAGAAAGCUUGAUGAGCUCAGAGAGUGUUUGAACAGAUUUGGAUAUGGUGACUGAAACGGAUCUUCAUUACGUGGAGAGAAGUGCAAAAGACAAGCUUUUGUUGUAUUACAUUGAAAAAGUACUUGCGGUUGCGUUUUGCUAUUUUGUGCAGGUCCCAACACGUGAGGAUUCAUAUUGUCGUUUGUUAAUAUGAUCUCUAAUUUAGAUUACCUCAAGAUAUCCAUCAGGUAGCUGAUCAGUAUAACAACUUAACAACCAUUGAGAGUAAACUCAUUGAAAGUUGACAAUUUAAGUAGAGAAUUAACUCUAGCGACGAAAGUACCCAUUCGAACCCAGGUGGCCAGGUGACACAACCAACUGGGAAAGUAUUGAAUUGGUGUCAUAACCUCUAACUUAAUUAUACUUAAAAGCUAAAACUAACCGAACGGUUCCGGUUUUAACUGGUUAGCUAAAUAAGGUAUAAAGGUAGUAUAAGUGUAAAUGUAAAUUAAAUAAUUCAAGCUUAUAAGUCUUUUUCCCAUUUUGGGGUAUUUUAGAAAUUUUUGAUCUUUUAAGAGUCAUUCUAAAAUACAUGAACCUUUUUCGUUUUCCAAAUUAUACCUCGUUUAAUAAAAAUUGUUAUUAAUUUUACUAUUUAACAAAAGCUGGAAGUUUUAAAAAUAUAUUUUUGGAAAUUUUCCGAAAGAAAAGGUAAUUUAGAUUACCUAUACAUAUCAUGGUUCAGUUAUUCUUUUCUGCCGAGUAGGUACCAUUUUGAACCACGGUGGGGUGUGAGAUUUAGCAAGUGACACAACCACAUUUGAAAGUAUUGAAUUGGUGAUAUGAGCUCUAGCUAAUUUAAUUGUAGUUAUCCCUAAAAAAAAAAAAAAUCGAACGGUUCCGGUUUAGACCGGUUCGCCAAAUGAUUUCACAUCAACUGUCUAAGGUAUCAAACUGAACAACAGUACAUCUUCCUCGUCAUGGAUUCAUCAUCUGACAAUACAAGAUCGUUACGUCUCUAAACCGUAUCAAAAUAGAGACGUAAACAACAACAAAAACGUAUGAUUAUACGAGAUAUAAGCUAAGGUUUAUAGAUUGUGUUCAUGCCUUCAUGUCAUUAUUGGUGUUUGGUGCGGUGCUUUUAUUCGAUCGAAACGCGGUCAAUUGUUUCUUUCCAGCACCGUCAGCUGAAGCAGUAGAGGUUCUCACGGCAUUGCCCGUAGGCGUAGGGGUGUUCUGUAGUAUGUUGUUUGCAACAUUUCUAACAACACGCACUGGAAUUGGUUUCCAACUUUCUAGUAAAUUAAUGAUAUCAAUUUGUUGUUAUCUAUUUGUCAUUUGAUUUAUAUGUAUAUGUAUGUAACUUGUGGUUCAAGAUUCUUUCUUUGAUUAUCUCUCGAAAUAGACUAUUCCAAAAUCGUGCUAACUGUUUACAGUAGAGAUGUAUUCAAAUCAACCGACUUAGUACCAAUCCGAACUCCGUGGCGUGAGACUUGCUAGGUGACACAAGCAGUGCCGUGCCAAGGCUUUUUGGGGCUUGGAACGAAAAAUAAUAUGUGGCCUAUCUAAUUUAGUUGAAUAAUUAUUUUUUAAACAACCUAAAAUAUAAGCAAAAGAGAAAAAUUGAGCUACAAUACAAAGUCAAGGUUCUAAAUCUAUAUAGCGAAAUGAAUUAUGCUAACAUGGAUCAAACUUCAAGCAAAAUACAUGUAUGAGACAACUUAAAUUUGUUGAACCAACAAAAUAUUUUUAAUAAUGUGGCCUAAAAAUCAAGUCUAUAAAAUGUGGCUGUGGGCGAAUGCCCUUUAUGUUAAGGGGUAAGCACGGCACUGGAUACAAGUACACAACAACAUGAGCUCUAAUUUAAUUAUACUUAUCCCUAAAAAACAAAUCGAACAGCUCCAGUUUAAACCGGUACGCCAAAUAAUAUCACAUCAUCAGCGUAAGGUAUCAAAUAUACUAGAUGUUGCAAUGGUUUUUUUUCAAAUAAACUAAACGUUACAAUGGUUCAUAAAAUAAAAAAAUGUUGCAAUGGUUCAACAAACACUAACAAAAAAAAUUAUAUAAUAUUUUAAUAAUUAAAAAUUAAAUAAAAAUAUAUUUUAAAGAGUUACGAUCAAAAGUCGCCACGGUUGAAGUGACUGUAAAAAAUAUUUGUGCAUGUUGUUAAUAUUAUUAGAUUACUUGUACGAAAAGGACUCUUAAUGAGAAAAUUUCCAAAAAAAAAUACGCCUAUUUUUUUCUUGUGAAUAAAGAGUACAGAGAUUCUUCAUUGCCUCAAACUUUAUGGUGAUGCUUCUGGUCAGGAGAUUAAUUUUCAGAAAUCGUCUAUCACUUAUGGUAAGAAGAUUGAUCCUAUUAUGAAGCACUUAUUGGGGCUGUUCAUGGGUAUUACCAAGGAAGGUGGAGCUGGUAAAUACCUAGGUUUGCCAGAGUGUUUUAGUGGUUCUAAGCGCGAGCUAUUGGCCUACAUCACAGAUAAAUUAAAAAGCAGGUUAACGGGAUGGUAUGCUAAGACGUUAUCCUUGGGCGGAAAGGAGGUGCUUCUUAAAUCAGUGGCCAUGGCAUUACCAGUUUAUGCGAUGUCAUGUUUCCGUUUAACUAAGCAACAAUGCCAACAGCUUACAAGUGCGAUGACAAGUUUCUGGUGGAAUUCAUGUGAGGAACAGAAAAAGAUGCAUUGGGUCUCAUGGGAGAAAAUGUGUAAAACAAAACAAGAUGGUGGUUUAGGUUUUCGAGAAGUUAGCGAUUUUAAUCAAGCACUUUUAGCCAAACAGGCUUGGCGACUUCUCUCGGAACCCUCUUCCUUAUUGGCCAGAGUUUUUAAAGCAAGGUAUUAUAAUCGGCGAGACUUUCUCCAUGCGGCUGCAGGCUCUAGACCGUCAUAUGCUUGGCGUAGCAUUCUCCAUGGUCGAGAAUUGUUGGAGAAAGGUCUCGUGAAAGUCAUUGGUAAUGGACAAUCUACGAAUGUUUGGACUGAGAAAUGGAUUUUUGAUAAAGCUCCUCGACGACCUUUCAACAAACAGACACUUAUAGACUUAGACUUAAAAGUUUCAAACCUUAUUACCUCUCAAGGCUCUUGGAAUCAAAGUUUAAUGUCUGAUUUGUUUUUCCCACCGGAUGUGGUACGAGUGAUGUCUUCCCCACCGAAUACGGCUUCUGCGGAUAGAUUUAUUUGGGCUUAUACUCGAACUGGGUGCUACACAGUGAAAAGUGGAAGUUGGUUGAUAUAUUCUUUAAAGAGAGAGACCUCCAUUUUAUCAUUACAAGAACAGACUUCACGUUUGCUGAAAGAGAAGGUAUGGGACUUGAAAACUAUUCCAAAGAUCAAAUUGUUUUUAUGGAGAGUGUUAUCUGGUGCUUUGGGAAUUGCGGAAUGCUUGCAAGCUCAUGGUUUAAAUCCUUUGAUGCAAUGUUCACUCUGCCAAAACGAUUUAGAGUCGUUGAGCCAUGUUUUAUUUUUGUGUGGUCCUGCUCGUACAGUAUGGGAGAUUUCUAAUAUUCCCUUGCCUGUCCAGGGGUUUACAGAAUGCUUAUAUGAUAACUUUACAUUUCUUUUUGAGUUGUUGAGAAAUUCUGCAGUAGACCCCAAAUUACAGUUGGCAAUUCCUUGGUUGCUUUGGGGUAUUUGGAAACAUAGGAAUGAAGUUAUUCACGCAGGGAAACAUGGUGAUUUAAACAUCCUUGUAGACCAUGCUAUCGAGGAGUCAGAGAUAUGGAAUAAGUUGGUGUUAGAGCCGUCUGGUCACAAUGUUCAAGUUGCUCGUGCUCCGAGAGCUGAAGUAAGAUGGUUGAGACCUCCGCUUAAUAUGUAUAAAUGCAAUGUCCAUUCAUCAUGGAUCAAUGACACGAGUAUGUGUGGUGGUUCAUGGAUUGUGCGGAAUCACAAUGGAGAUGCUGUCUUUCAUGCGAGAGAAGCCUUUCUACCAACUACCAACCGAAUCGCUUCAGAGUUACGAUGUUUUCUGUGGGCGCUACAAAGUUUAAAAGAUCUACAUUUCGAGGACAUUGAGAUUUGGUCUGACUGUGCGGCUGCGAUUGAAGCGGUCACGGAUCCCAUGAAUUGGCCACGGUAUCAUUCUUACCUUGAUAAGAUCUCUCGCAUUACUCCGGGUUUUCGUAAAAUUUUCUUUAAGCUUGCGUCCCCAAAAGCGAAUUCAGUUGCAAGAGAUAUUGCUAAAAGUGUUACUCGAGAUGGACGUUUCAGAUCAUACCUUGCCAUUGGCGGUCCGGCAUGGUUGCAUUCACGCAUAGAGGAAGAUAAACGACGAUGAAGCUUCAUCAGAUUUGGUUGAUCAAGUUCAGUUUCUUGUUUUAUUUAAAUGAGUACUGUUGCUCUGUUUUGUGAUGGUUUUAUUGCUCUGUUUCUUUUGUUUCACGAACCUCAUUUCUAUCUUAAUACAAACUCUUGACGACAAAAAAAAAAAAACUUUUUUCGUUUCCCAAAUAAUACAUCGUUUAAUUAAAAUUGUUAUAUAAAACUGUAACUUUUAAAAAUACUUUUUUGGAAAUUUUCCAAAAUGAGAAGGUAAUUUAAAUUACCUCUACGUUCACGGUGAACGCUAAUCAAGGAUCAAUUAUUCUUUGUUUCCGAAUAGGUACCAAUCGAACCCCGGUGGCAUGUGAGACUUAGCAAGUGACACAACCACGUAUGAAAGUAUAAAAUUUGUGAUAUUAGCACUAAUUUAAUUGUAGUUAUCCCUAAAAAACAAAAUCGAACGGUUCCGGUCUAAACCGGUUCUCCAAAUGAUUUCACAUCACCAGCCUAAUGUAUCCAAUUGAAGAACACAACAACUUCAUCGUUAUGGAUUCAUCAUCUGACAUCAGUGCGUUGAUCUUAAUUGUUUGGUUCGGUUCCUUUUUUUGUGUUCCACAAGAGUCCAAUGUUAGUUCUUGUGGGUUUUGGUUUACUCCACUCUUGGUUUUGUCAAAGUCUCUUGAAUUUUUCUCGUCUUCGGCUUCCAGAUGUCUGUUUCUUGUAAGUAUAGAUUCGAUCCCCAUAAGAUUGAGUUUUAGGAUUUUCUCUAAAGAUUCAAGAUUUCGGAGUUCUUUGAUUGUAAUUUCAUGGAAAAAAUACAGAGUCUUGGUUUUUACUUUACGCCCAUAAACGGUUCGACGAAAGUCAUGAACCAAAAGAUUUGCGUUUUCUUUAGUCAUCUCACUCAGUUCAAAGACACCUAAAAAUCCUUCAUCUUGUUCAAAAGAAAUUGCCCUCUUUUUCAGAUUUGCAACAGCAUUAAAAAAUACAAAAAGAGAGGUAAUUUAGAUUACCUCAUUUGGGUCUUGACCAUAUCAAUGGUGGAAGACAAACAUCCACGCGAGGUAAGAACCUCGGGAGAGAUGACUCCAGAUAACACUGGGAACAUUCCACAACGGGAAGAAGAAGCGCACGGAGACAUUACUCCGGCGAUUAGAAGCAUUCUCGAGACUGAUUGCUCGGAAGAAGCCAAACUUGGUACCAAGAUGGAUCGAACCCUGGU